GGAACUCUGUCUGGCCAGUGGGAGAGCUGAGUUUGGCCGCGGACCUCUCCUCUUCCAGCUUUGCUCCUCCCAGCUUAGGAAAAGGCGGAGCGGGCCAAGUACUGUGUUCCCAAAGACUAGAGACUUUGCCGGCUCCUGCUCAGUAGCACAGUUUGCUCUGUCGGCUAGGCUGGAGUGCAGUGGUUGGGUCAUGACCCACUGCAGCUGUUACUGGAAAGAGGUCCUGAUCCAGAUCCCAAGAGAGGGCUCUCGGUUAUCACCCAAGAAAAAAUUUAAGGGUGAGGUUAUUUAGCCAUCUGAAAUCAGACUCCUCAGCAACCUCACCACACUCGGGACUGCGGAGACUGCUCUGUGCUCUCAGGAAACUACUGUCUUAAGUUCUGCAGGCUGUACAGCAAUAAUGAUUCUGGCUUCUACUUCUGCUGAGGGCCUCGGGCUGCUUCCACUCAUGGUAGAAGGAACUGGCAUGUCACAUGGUGGAAUUCCAAGAAUCCACGUGGAGACUCACUGAGGCAAAGGGGCCAACCAUGGGAAAGAGCAGAUGGGGCUCAGGUAGGUCUGCUGUGGCAGCUGUGAUCUGAGGAGGUCUUUCCCAAAAGCACAGCAGACAUCACCUCCACAGGAAGAUGUCAGGGAGGUCUGGGGAGUCUCUCUCGUGGGGCCAACCCCAAAUCUCCACUUGCCUGCAUUUGUGGCUGUGGUGACUGUGCCUGUGGGGCUCAGUGCCAUGGGCUUCACCUCAGGAGGAAUCGCUGCAUCCUCCAUGGCAGCCCAGAUGAUGGAGGGAGUGGAGUUGCUGUGCGCAGUCUGAUGGCUACUCUGCAGUCAGUGGGGGCAGCUGGAUCCUCCGUGACAUCUGGAGUCAUCCUGAGCUCUGCUAGGUCAAUACUUGGAGCCUGGCUGAGUUCCUUUCGCACCCUCAGCUGAACACCACACUGAAGCAGGGAGGUGACUCUCUUGAUGGAGAUGACUCUCCUGGGCCUCUGAAUGACAGUCCUCAAAGGACAAGUCCCCUACUCCCAAAACUAUUCCAAGGAAGCAUGAAAAAUAAAGGCAAGAUGCUGCUGAUCUUCUCCUAGCAUCGGUUCUCUGUUCUUGUGGUCAGGAUAGAGUACAGUGCUGCAGCAGGAGUGCUGGGCAGGGAGGGACUCAAGAGGAAGGAGCAUGGGAUGUCUAUGACCAGAGCCAGUCUGACUCCAGGCUUUCCACUCACUCUGUGGUCCUGAGCAGGUCAUGUCUGCCCUUUGAGCCUCAGUUUGCUGCUCUUCAGUUGGGGGAGCCAGCCUCAGCGUUAUAGGAUGGUGUGGCUCUUGGGUCAUUGCUUGAGCCAUUGACGCUCAAUUAUGAAGCCCUUUGUCCCCAUGCCUGACUGAUCCCUUCCUUUUCCACCCAGGACUUAGGAUGUGGCUGUAUAAUUACUCUAGAAGUUCAGCAACACUGCAUUUGCCUGGCCGAUGGGCCUUCUUUAUACAGGUAGAGAGGUUUCAUUCCUCCAGGGAGCUCUUUCCCUCUCAGCACAGAGCCCAGGCUCCUUGGCCCCCAGAUGGAUUGAGCACAGCCUGUGAGGAUGGGCAAGGGGCUGGGACUUCUAAGAAGUAGGCCAAUGCAGAACACCCAUUUCCAGAGACCUACUGUGUGCCUGGCAUCUUAUUUGGGACCUCCUGUGUGCCUGGCCCCAGAUCAGGUGCCAGGUGUCCUAUGCACACUGUGCACACUGACCUGUCAUCUGCCACCCGGCACCUGCCUGGCCGUUAGGAUAAGCCACACUUGACUUCUGGAAAGCCUGUUAAGACUUGGCCUCUGAUCUCCACCUCAGUCCCACUCUGGGCUGUUUGACCUUCACACUUAUUAUUCCUUUACAGCUGUAUUCCCAUGGGCUCUCCCCGGGAUGCUGACUGAACUGACUCCCACAGCUCCCAACUGGCCUCAAGGGCUCCAUCCCACAUGAUCCCCCUAGCUGCAGAGGAUCACAGAGAUCCAUCUCUGCCCCGGGUAUACAAUGUUGGGGAAGCCAGCCCUUAAUCAAUGAUGUUAAGGGACUUGGGGUAAAUGACAGAAAUGAUCACGUUCUCCUUCCUUUCAGCAUGGCUGUAUAGCUCCUCCCAUCAAGAAGCAGAACUUUCUUUCCCCUCCCUUUGCAUCUCUUCUGGCCCAGGGAGUUGCUCUGGAGGAUAGAACGUGGUGGAAGUGAUGGCAUGCUAAUCAUGAGCCUGGUCCCUAAGAAACCCUGCAGCCUUCUGCUGCACCUCCUGGACCCCAUCACUGCCGUGAGAACAAGUCAGGCUGGACAAGCACACAAGGCCCAUUCAUUCCAGACAAGGCCCCAGACAUGGAAACAAGCCCAGACAAGAUCUGCAAAAGCCGACCUGCAGCUGCCUGCAGAUGGGUGAGGGACCCAGCUGAGACCAGAAGAACCACCUGCCUAGAUUGCUGACCCACAGAAUCAUGAGCUACAUAACUCUUUUAAGCCACUAAAUUGUAUGGUCACUUUUUAUCCAGCCACAGGUAAGACAACAUAAGACAACGUGUACAGUCACUGAAGAGGAUCAGGCUAUAUGGCUCAUAGGACAGAGAAGGCAGAGAUUGAUUCUAAUUGUAACUACGUGAAAAGACUGCCUGGAGUAAGUGCUGUUUUACUUAAGGAUUAUGUAGUUGUAAGUACUAGAAACUUGACAGCACCUUGCUCAGAGUUCAAUGAUUUUAGUAAAUCAUUGAUUUACUAAAUGAAAAAGUCCAAAGGUAAAGUAUGCUUCAGGCAAGGUUUGAUUCAGCAGCACAACGUGGUUGUCAAAGACCUGUCUUCUGUUCUUCAUUUCUGAGGCAUCAGCUACAUCCGGUGGCUGCCAGCUCUCACGGUUACAAGACAGCUGUUAGCAGGCUCUGGAAGCUACCUUCUUUAUUCAUGUCUCCCAGAAAGAAUAUUUUUUCAUGCACUUUCUCCUGAAAAGCAAAGAAACGUCUUUCCCAAAUGCCUCUAGUAAAUGUUAAUGCUGCUAUCUUAAAUGAAGUCAUUUACUCAUUCCUAACAUCCAUUAGUUCGGCCUGCAGGAUGGGUGGGAUGAGAUGAUUUGUUUAAGUGUACCUGGGCUCACCUUUAGAAAGUUCGAGGAGAGCCCAUGCCUCUGAUACACUCACAGUCAGGGCAGGAGCUCCUAUACCUGAGAGAGGUUUCUGCUUCAAAGAAGAGAGGGGGUUAAGGGGCAUUGAGUCUGUAAAGGACAGCAUGGGGGAUGUUCUGAGGGAAGACCGGGCCUCGUGGACCCUUGGGGGAAACUAAAGCAGGCUCCCCACCAGGUUCACUGCUUCUCUGUCUGUCUUGUUAUCUUCUCACCCCUCCAGCUGCUAAGGAAGGCAAGUGGACAGUAGGUUACUGUCUUUUUAGCUUUAACUUUACAGCAUGGGAUUAUAUUAUUUUCUAAUGAAAAUUCGCAUUUUAUUGCAUUUAAAUUACUUAAGAAAUCUUGAAGUACCUUCUACUCUUGGAGUCCUAAAUUCCUACAGGUAAGGCUGAAGCCCCUUUAUCUCUGAUGAGCGUCCUUGCCCCUCAUUCUACCCCAGUCCCACUCUCAGCAGUAAAGAGCUGCUGCGAUUUCAUACGUUUCUUUCCAUGGACCCCCCUCCCUUUUAUAUUGUGAUAAAAACUCAUAGAAUUUACCAUCCUGACCAUGUUUUUUUGAGAUGGAGUGUCACCCUGUCACCAGACUGGAAUGCAGUGGUGCAGUCUCAGUUCUCUGCAACCUCUGCCUCCUGGGUUCAAGCGAUUCUCCUGCCUUGGCCUCUUGAGUAGCUGGGAUUAUAGGUGUCAGCCACCAUGCCUGGCUAAUUUUUUUGGAUCUUUGGUAGAGACGGGGUUUCACCAUGUUGGUCAGGCUGUUCUCCAACUCUUGACCUCAGGUGAUCCACCCGCCUCAGCCUCCCAAAGUGCUGGGAUUACAGGCGUGAGCCACCUUGCCCGGCCACCAUUUUUUAAGUACAGUUCAGCAGUGUUAGAUACAUAUUCACGUUGUUGUGAUACAUCUCCAGAAUUUUUUCAUCUUGUGAAAAUGAAUCUCUGUCCUCAUUAAACAGAUCUGCUCUGUCCCCUCCCCCUGCCCUGGGAAUUCUGCCUUCUGUCUUUAUGAAUUUGACCACUCUAGGUACUGCUGAUUGGUGGAAUUAUAUAGUAUUUGUCGUGUGUGUGUGUGUGUGUGUGUGUGUGUGUGUGUAGAGAUGGGGUGUUGCUUUGCUAGCGUUUCCUCAUCUGUAACAUGGGUGGGGGUGUCCUACCUUUUUCACAUUAGUGAGGAGAUUACAGAAGAACACUUACCUUACCUGCCAUAUACGCCUUAAAAUGUGAUUGGUUCUGAUUUCCUAAUUUUAGUGUCUUUUCAGCUGCUCCAUGGAGAUAUAAGGAAGUCCCAGAACUGUCUAAGAAGUUGGCACUGGGGCUUUCAGGAGGAAGAAAGCAAUACCCCCCUGCUACCCCAGGGGAAAUAACAUCCCUCAUGGCCCUGGGCUAACACAUGUCCUUUGGUAGCCCCAACUCCCCAACAUCCCUCCUUCCCUCACCCCAGGUUCCUUUCCAGGCCUGCUGUCCCCACAGCUUACAGCAGCCUCCCUAGCCCCCUGGAGCUCCUCAUGUCUUUCAGGAUAGUGGGAGGCAAGCCAGGUUGUGUGCCCAUCCCGUCCUCAGAGCUCCAUCCCUUUGGCUGAAGUUGAGGAACUCUUACUCUCUAGGCCAUGGAAUUCACCCGAGCAGUGACUGGUGUGGCCAGGGUGGCCUCUGGCUGUGCUGCAGCUUUGCCUGUGGGUGAGUGUUCCUGGGAGGGGCUGCUGCUGGGGGUGAGGAGGCGACUGUGGCAGGUGUUGGUCCCGUCCAGGGAACCGUGGGAGAGAAAAUGGGGGGAACACCUGCAGCCUUGCUGCCCUGCACUGUCCUCCCACAGCAGGUGUCCGCCCUGGCUUUUCAUCUGGGAAGAGGGCAGGGGCAGGCUUAGCCCUGGGUGUCCCGCAGGUCUCCCCACCUCUCGGCCCAGACUUCCUCCUGCCUAGCCCAAAACUGUCUGUCUAUCACUGAGUCCCACUCUCUUCAGCUCUUCCUUCCCCCAAAUUCACCAUCAGAAUUAAUCUCCUUUGGGAGUUUCCCUUGUCAACAGGGCCCCUGCACCCUAUGAGAUCUCAAUCCAGAGUACUGAUUUUAACAAAAUUUCUUCAGCCCACAUUUUUCACUGGUUUCUGUGAGAUCUCUUUCUGGUUUUAUUUAUUCUUUCUCAUUUGUCUUCCUUUUCAUCCUUGAUUCCCCUCCCUCAAAGUCAGCCUUUCUGAUAGAUUUACUGUGUGUCUGUUUUCAUAUGUGUUUUUGCAGAAAGGGUAUUGCGUUUUGUUUGCAUGCGUUGUAAUUGACAUGCAGGAGAGUGUGUGAUAGAUCCCAUUCUGUCGCUGUUUCCCACACUGAACCAUAUUCUUGAGAUCCAUCAAUGUUAUUCAGUAAGCAUCUAAUGCUGGCUUCUACCUGCUGGCAAGUGCUUCUCUGCAUGUAUCCGCUGCCCCUUACCUUUCUGUCUCCUGGGUGGACAUCCAGGGAUUCUCCCAACUCCACCAGCACAAAUGGCAUAGGCUUGAAUGACCCCUACCCUGACUUCUGACCCUGCCCCAGCCUCUACCCUCUAUUUGAGCCCUGUGCACUCACCCUUUGCUGACCCUGUCAUCCUCGGCUGCCCUGACCCCCAACACACCUAUCCUCAGACGCUUGGGGGCACUGGAGGUUAGCUCCUUCAUGCUGGGGUCCCUCAUAGGCACCCUGUUUUGCAACUUGGAGGUAACUGGCCCUUGGCAACACACACCACUCUGUGUACCCCCAACUCAGUGCAGAGAAGUGUCAUGAGCAAGUGAGGACCUGGGCCACACCCAACAGUCCUUUCUGUUUGUCAGAUAUGCAGAUGACUUCUCAGUUUAAGAUCAGGCAAUUAGUAAAAUUAAAAAAAUAACAGCUCAAUUUGAGCCAGUGCUUUUAUGUCCUAGUCAUGAAGUCUAGCACUUGUUUGUCCAUUUGUUUAAUUCUUGUAACAACCCCAGAAGAAGAUAAGAAGAUAAUACUAUCUCUUAUUUACCAACAGGGACAAUUUACUGUUGUCCAAGUGCUCUGUGCAGGACAGGAGGGCGUGGGGGUGCUGCUUCCAGGCUUGGAACAGGCGGUAGAACAAUGAACAACGACAAGAAGUAUUAAUAUGCCUGGCACAGUGCCUCACACCUGCAAGCCAAGUCGGUGGAGGGGGGGGAAUCACUUGAGGUCAGGAGUUUGAGACCAGCCUGGCCUAUUGGCCAGGUGACACCUGGUGACACCCUGUCCUACCAAAAUGCAAAAUUAGCCAGGCAUGGUGGUGCAUGCCUGUAAUCCCAGGUACUUGGGAGGCUGAGGCAGGAGAAUCACUUGAAUCCAGGAGGCAGAGGUUGCAGAGAGCCAAGAUUAUGCUACUGCACUCCAGCCUGGGUGACAGAGCAAGACUCUAUCUCCAAAAAAAAAAAAAAAAAAGUAUUAAUAGAAGUGGGGGAAGGUUGCAGGGAGGGCUCAGGGCAGAGAAGGUUCUGAAGGGUGCACAGGGCAGAGGACAGGCUCCUUUGCCCUAUCAAUGCCCAUCAGCUGAGCCUAACAGGCAGGCCCCCAGACACACAGCAGCCAGUUCCUGAGGGCUUUUGUGUGUCAGGGCCCAGGUUUACCAGGCUGCCAGGCAACUUAGUGUCACCUCUCCUGCCUGCCAGUAAAACUGACCCUUCUAACAUGGUUAUUGAUUCCUGAAUCCUGGGGCUUAUAAGCCCUCCAGGUGGCCUUCCUGGUCACUCAGGGUUUGGCCUUCACACCUGUGUCAAUUUACUUCCUCCACCAUCACUCUAAGGCCUCUCCCUGGGAGCUGGCUGAGCUCAUUCCUGCACAUCUGGCUAUCUAGAACUCCUGGUUCCAAACUGCAGUUUUGGCCCCUCUGGCUGCUGGGGAGUGGAACCUCUGCCUACUUCCCAGGGGCUCACCAUGUCGGGGAGCAAACCAUGCAUACCCAGUGCUGUGAGUGGCUCCAGUCAUGGAGGAGCAAGGAUGAGUUCUGAUUGGAAGAAUCUGGGAAGGCUUCCUGGAGGAGGGAGCAAUAGCAUGGGCCUUGAAGAAUCAGAAGCUUUCAAGUCAUUCAAUUCAAGCAUUGCUCUCAAGUGGCAUUCAAGCAUUCCACAGUGCUUGCCCUGACUUCAGCCACACAGUGCAAAAUGAAGCACAUCUUUCUUUACCAUGAGGACUUAUUACUAUCUGAAGAGUUUUUCUGGACUAUAGGAGAAAGUCAUGGUAUCCCUCACUAAUAAACACUGACCCUGCUUCAGAUGAACUAACAGCCCUGCUCAGAAAGCACGACACCCAUCCUCUUCACUUCUCCCUGUCCCGGCCAAACCACCAAGCCCUAUAUUCCAUUGCCAAGUAUCCUGUUACCGGGAACGGACGUCACAGUAACAUGUCUUCCUAGCCACAUCUAGAAGGUUUUGUUCAUUUUUGUUCUGCCUUUUAUUUGAACUAAACCUGGCUUGGGAGGAAGAAAAGAAAACUUCUGAUUUCCCCCAAUCAACCAACCAACCAACUAGGUCAGGGCCACGUAAAUUAAUCAGGACAAGCACUGGAGUCAAACCCCCCAGUGACCUUCGCCUUCUCCAGAAAUUCCACUUCCCAAAAUGAAACAGCGGUAGAGGGGGUCAUCCCUUCUUCUGGCUCCCAACCUGGGAGUCAGCUGGCUCAGACAGUGGAGGGGAGGCCAGCGUGGAUCCACUCACAGACUGUUCUUUUGGUUUCCAGACAGGGUUGCUACAGUUGUGAUUGGAGCCACGGUGGUGCAGGCUGUGCCUGUGGUGCUCAGUGCCAGGGGCUUCACUGGGGCGGGAAUGGCCAAGAACUCCCUAGCAGCCAAGAUGAUGUCUGCAGUGGCCAUCGACGACGGGGCAGAGUUGCCUCAGGCAGCCUGGUGGCUACGCUGCAGUCACUGGGUAAGCAUCCUGGCAGGGCUUGCUGGUGAGGGCGAUGAGGAGGGCAAGAGCCUCCCAGGCCCAGUCCUGAGUCAACCCCAUGGGCCGCAAUCUCUCUGUUCCUCUGUCUCUCUCUACCAUUCUCUCAGGAUUUCUCUGGUGAGCUAACAGCCCUGCGGGAGAUGGGGACGGAGGGAAAGAGCCCUGGCCAGGAACAGCGGGCUCAGGACCACUCAUCCUGAAGCAGACUUGCUGGGUUACCUGGGUGUCUCCUCCCCUCUGGGGUGCAGCCUCCUUCCCUGAAGAGCGAGGCUGCUUCCAGCUCUGGAAUUUACCACAAGCGUUCAUGCCUGCAGCAGCCUUGCCCAGAACAACCCCCCGAGGAUGCUGGGAAACACGAGGGGAACUGGGUGGGGUUUCUGGGCCUCAGGCCCUCCUGAGGGUCACUGGAGUCUCUUCCCCCACAGUCCUGUCCCAUAGAGCUUCCGUGACAGGCAUGCCCCACUGUGUUUACCCUCUCCUUCCCAGGAGCAACUGGGCUCUCCAGGUUGACCAGCUAAUCCUGGGCUCCACUGGGUCUGCCGUGGCGGCUGGCUUUGUGGACUUCUUCUAGCUCCCUGCCCUCGCCCUGCAGCGAAGAGAACCGUGCCAGGAGAGAAGGUGCCCAGCCAUCCUGACCCAGUGAGGAGCCAACUAUAGCAAAUACACCUGGGGUGAAAUAUACCAAAUUCUGCACCCCCAGAGGAAAAUAAGAAAAAAAGAUGGAUUGUUGCAAGCCUU